rnacentral:rRNA from 2 species
AAUCCAUAGGUUAAUGAGGCGAACCGGGGGAACUGAAACAUCUAAGUACCCCGAGGAAAAGAAAUCAACCGAGAUUCCCCCAGUAGCGGCGAGCGAACGGGGAGGAGCCCAGAGCCUGAAUCAGCAUGUGUGUUAGUGGAAGCGUCUGGAAAGGCGCGCGAUACAGGGUGACAGCCCCGUACACAAAAGCGCAUGUGCUGUGAGCUCGAUGAGUAGGGCGGGACACGUGGUAUCCUGUCUGAAUAUGGGGGGACCAUCCUCCAAGGCUAAAUACUCCUGACUGACCGAUAGUGAACCAGUACCGUGAGGGAAAGGCGAAAAGAACCCCGGCGAGGGGAGUGAAAAAGAACCUGAAACCGUGUACGUACAAGCAGUGGGAGCCCCACCACCA